AGUUGUCUUGGUUGUGGUGUCUCUUCACAGGAACAGAACAGUGACUAAGAUGCUCUCCCUAUGUCAUCCUUCUGGAUGUCAUCUAUGUGCCCAGCCCCAGAGGCCAGCCCUGAAGAAAGUAGAUGGUACCUAGGGCUGGAGAGACGGUUCAGUGGUUAAGAAUGCUUACUGUUCUAGCCGGGGAUCUGAGUUUAGCUUCCAGCAGCCCUAUCUACCUGUAAAUUCACAUGCAUACAUGCAUACACAUAAUUUUUUAAAAUGUAAAUCUCUUAGAAGGUAGCUGGUGCUGAGCCAGCAGUGUGGAGCAGUGACCAAGGUCCCAUGCAGGUUUCUGCAGGUGGCAGAGCACAUAGAGAUCUUCCUUGAUUCACAUAUGGGGGUCCCAGAUCACACAAUAUGACUGUAUUUGAAGACAGGGCUUUACGGAUGUAUAGACAUGGGGCUGGAGAGAGAGAUCAGUGGUAAGAGUGCUUGCUUCUGUAAACAUGAGGCACUGAGUUCAGAUUUCAGGAUCACAUAAAAAACUGGGCAUGGCCUGAUACCUUGAUUCUUGACUGCCAGCUUGCAGAGUUAUGAGGAAUAAAUUUCUGUUGUUAAACCUCUCAGUCUGUGAUUUUUUUUUUUUUAUUGAACUUUGAGCUGACUGAUGCCUGUACCUCUAAGCCAGGGGGGUGACAGAAGGGUCCCCCGAAACAUCAGGUAGGCUUUGGCCACAAACACUUGAAUUCUAAACUGGAAAUCUUACCUACUUAGCAGGAGUCAGAAAAAAGACAGAGGAGCCCUCUCCUCCAGGCCAGUCCCUGACACGGUAUGGAGGACAGACCUGGAUGUCAGGAGAGAGGAGAGGACCUGUUUGACCCCAGCAGGGGUUCUGACCACUCCAUCCUGCAUGGACUACUGGUCCCAACCAGACUGUGAGCCUGUUGGAUUCGCUCCUUUCCUCUUCAAAGCAUUCAAGAUUGAUUGCCGAGCCUCGCCAUGAAUCAAGAGAGAGUCACUCCUCAUUAUCUACUUAGAAUUCCCCAGGUUCUUCCUACAAAACCAUCCCUCAGCUGUUUGAUCUCCCAGCCACCAGCACUAUCUCCAGGCACGCCACCCAUCACGGCAGCCACCAGACACUUUUUUCUCCUAGGCGCUUUUCUCGGGACCCAGAUGAAUUUCCACCUUUCUCUGGCUUUAAGACGAGCUGCCGAGAUAAAUGAUUCAAAGACUCUGGCUGUUGCUAGAAAUAUAUAGACUGUGAAAGCUGCUUCUGCAUAAGCCAGCAUAAGGGGGGCCAGCGCUGGCUAGCAUGCUGCUGCUGCUGCUCUGGCCAUAGCCACAUGCUCUCUGCAGUGUUUUCAUGUGUAGACUGAUGAGGCUUGUGCAGCCUGCGUGGCCAAGCCAGGCCAAGCCCCUGCUGCCUCCUGCAUAAUGCCACUGACAAUCUCAGGGCAUAUGCCAACUGACUGUGGUUAGCAGGAAGGAGGCAUCCUGUUUGCAUACUGUAUCCAAAAGGAAUCUUGUCUCCAGUCCUGCUGCUAGCACCUGCUUGCCUAGAAAGCAAGCCCUUGGCCCACCACAGGGCAUGCUCAGCUGCUCGUCCCAUCCCAUCCAGGGGUGAGGCUCUGCAGGCAGACUUCCCCCUCCUCCUUUCACAGUGCCAGUCAGGCUUUCUCCACCUAUGGGAAGCCAUACAACUUUCAGGUGAAUCUUUCUCCUCUGCCAUCAGUUGCCUAGGAAGGAACUGAGCCUGCUUCUCUUGCUUGGAUGAACUGGUAGAAAAUAACACUACACAAAUGAAGCUUAGCCGGGUUCAGUCACCCAGGCACCUGUCAUGCCAGGGGCAGGGCAAACAUGAAGGGCCUUCUACCAAGCAGUUCCAGGAACUCCAUACUGAGAGUGCCACACACUCCUGUUCCUAGAUAGGAUGGCCCAGAGAAGGCCCUGAGCAGCCACAGAGCUGCUGUUGAAGGCUGAGUGACAUGGGAACUGCUCUAACCCUGGUGCAGAUACAGAAGGCCAGGGCUUGCCCCUCAUAAAUUGGAAGGACUCAGUCAGAGUGCUAUUAGAGACCCUGUGUCUGUAUAAUGAGUGCUAAGAGGCACGUGUGAGUGUAAGUGUGUUUGAGUGUGUGAGAUAGUGUGUGUGAGAGUAGUGAGUGUAUAAGUGUAUAUGAGUGUGUGGGAGUGUGUAUAAGUAUGUGAGUGUUUAUAAGUGUAUGUGUUUGUAAGUCAGUGUGCAAAUGUGAGUGAAUAUGUAUAUGAGUUGUGUGAGUGUAUGAGUGAGGGGUGUGUGUGUGUGUGUGUGUGUGUGUGUAUGCAGGAUCAGGUAGGGAUGCAGAGUUGAGGUCAUGACUCUUUCUCACAGAACCAGGUUGUCAAAGACUGUAGAAUUCAUGUGAAGGCAGCUGGCUAGGUCUGCAAGCAGCAGGCAAUCGCUACAGGCCCUUUCCUAUACCCAAACCCCUAGCAGGCUCCUAAAGUUGCUAUAACCCAGGACACCUGACAAAUAUAUUCAUUAUCCUGCAGGCAGGACAGGAUCCUGAUAGUACAGUCCCCCGGCUGGAGGCCUCUGAACAAUACUGGGUACCAUCCACCACCAUCAACAGCUGGUUCCCUCGGGUGUCAGAGCCUCUUCACACUUUCCAGGGAGAGGGGAGUCUCGCACUCUGUGUGGCAGCUGCAGGCAAGCAGCUGUGUCUAAAAAGGGGGAGGUGGUCAGCAAGCUGACUGACUGCCCCAGACGUUCUUCAUCUACUUGCUCUAGGACAGCCAUGAGAGUCUGGAUCCCACCCUAUGGCGUGCUCUUGGACAGAUGCUGUAAGAACCCAGAGGGCUCACAAGAUUCCCCGUCUAUGCCCCUUGACUGAGUGAAGCCAAACACAGCCUGAGCUGUGGGCAGGACAGAGGCUAGCAUGGCCUGGGAGGCUCCACUGCCCCAGGAACUGGGGUCUCUCCAGGAGGAAUCCUCUCCCCACCCUGCCCAGUGUGCUACAAAAACCAAUUCCAGGUUUCAGGAGCAGAUGUGUCUACCGGCAGAUAUGGAAACGCCUUUCAAAGUUCCAGGGUUAAACCCAUCAUGACAUCCACAGAAUUCAGAGCUGGGAGGGGAAAAACUCCCAGCCCAGAAUAAUUGCUCCCAGAGGGAGCGUCGUUUUGCACUGGCAUGUACAAGGUCUGGAUGAGAAUUCUCUAAAAUCGGCAAGGAAGCUGGCGGCUAAUCAUAACUGUCUGCCUGUGCCAGGAGCCAAACUGACAUCACCACCCCUCUGGGACAAUCUUCCUUAGACCCCACACGGUCCCACAAUGGCUCCUGACACCAAGGAGGGAGAACCAAGCCACUCUGAGACAGGCUUGGGAUCUACCAGGGGACUCCUUUGGAAGUGUGUUAGGAAGAGUGGGGGCUCCUGGGGUGGGAGCAGGGCUUACUCAGAGGCCCAGAGGGCCCUGGCAGGAGCAGAGCCCACCAGGCAUUUAGGCACAAAACACAAAGCCUUUUAUUUUCCACCCAUAGCACUUCCCUUUUCUUUUUUAAAAAUGUGUGAACCUUUAGACUCCCCCUUCCCCACCCUCGUCUUGAUAGAGACAUUGGUAUGAGAAAUCUUUUUUACCUAGGAGAGAAUCAGCAUUCUAGGUGACAGAAAGUCAGCCUGGGGGAGAGGGGGAGGAAAGGGGAAAAAGGAGCUUGGGGAGGGCUAGGGGAAAGGUUUGGGGGGGGGUGUCAGAGGGAACAGUUCGGGGAGGCUAUGUCCUGUACCUGUCACCACUACUGAGUGCUGGGAUUAAAGGUGUUUGCCACCACAACCGGUUGCCACCACAAAUGACAUAAUUACAAUUUCAAAAAAAAUUAAAAAUUAUUAUAACAACAACAACAACAACAACAAAAAACCCAAAACACUGUAGGGACCAAACUGAGGAUGUCUACUAAGCAGAACCCAGAAGCUACCAGAAUAUAAACUCUGGCCUUCACCAUGAUAAAAAAUUUCCUCCUGGAGUUGUCGUGGUGGUAAAGAUCUAUUACUCCAGUUACUGAGGAGGCAGAGGCAGGAGGGUAGCACAUUCAAGGCCUGCCUGAGCUAAGGAAUAAGAUCAAGAAUGGUCUGGACAGCUUAGUGAGACCCUAGGAGGCAGAGGCCUGGGCUUACAGAGCCAGCUCUAGGACAGCCAGGGCUACAUAGAGAAACCUUGUCCUGGAAAACAAACAUAAACAUAAACAGAGGAGCAGGGGUGUGGUUUAGCAGGAGGAGCAGGGGUGUGGCUUAGCAGGAGGGUGCAAACACAGUGUGAGAGCCUCUAGAUAACCACACUUCCUCAGAGGUUGGCCUACAGUGGCCAAAGUCUACCAUUACAGCUGCCCUAAAGAAAAGUCAGGCAAAGCUAACCCCAGCUGGUGAAGAUGUCUGAGGAAAGGAGGUGCACAGGCAGCUCACACCCACUCCUUAGCUCUUUGGGAGUUCACCUCCCACAGUCUAUCUACAACUUAAAUAUCCACUCCCUUUCUUCUGUACCUGAGCACUUCCAGAAGGCAUCCUGGGCCCACCUGACAGCUCUCAGUCAGCUGAGCGGAUGGGGCCAGAGCCACAAUAUCUGUUGUGGUAAAAUAAGAAAUAUCUCCCCCAAAGCUCCAGUGUUGUGGGCUCUGCCCCCGGCAGGCCUUGCUGAGACUAAGACAUUAACGUCACUGGUGAGUUCGUAGCUCGGCUGUGAAGAGGAGGUAGGGGCUGGCUGGAGGAAGGAAGUCUAUGCAGAUAGCCUAGCUUGGUUUCCAGUAGACUCUGCUCCUGGCUUCCACAGGUGGCCAACAGUGCUCCUCCACAAACUUCCUCCAUCGCCUACAAGCAAGACCUGGUGGGUCGUGGACUGAAACCUCCCACACUUAAGCCCAGAUCAAUCGUUCCUCCUGUAGACGUCCUCAGGGUUUUAGUUGCAGUGAUAAAAACCUCAUACAUCCUCUGUGAGGAAUGGGAGGAAGUUUAGAGACAGCCUCUAACAUGUGAGAAAAAAAAAUUGUUUUUUUCUAUCAAUGAUGGCUAGGCUGCUGAGGACAAAUAUUCCCGUGGCCUCCUCCAUCCUGUAAGACUGCAGUGACCCCGAACACUCCUGAGACCUGCUUUGCUAUCAUUCCCUGCCCCUCGUGCCUGUUACUCAUCAGCCAGCUGUGUCAGACUCUGAGGUCCAGCUCCCAGCAGUGGGGUUGAGAGUCACAGCUGUGCUGGAGGAGAAGGACGUGAACGCCACACCUCCUGCUCUUGCUUCAGAGGUUAGGAUCCUAGUACACCUCUUUUGUGAAAGGAAAUUGCCUGACCGGGUUAUCUGACCUCUGUUCUCCUGUUUCCCUGUGACAGGAAGCUUUUCAGAAUGCAGAGCUAUGCCUCACUGACCUCUAGCUCCGCCACUCCAGGACCUAAGGACAUUGGAACACUGUAACCACUAAGUGUCUGGCAGGUGGACAGAUUUACCCUAGACUCUCCAAGUAACCGCUUUCUGAACAGUACCACGACAGAGCCUUGGGGAAAACAUCUCUCUCAAGAAUCUUGGGAGCAUCUGUCUAGGCACGAAGACUAAAAGUUCUCAGGAAAAGAGCAAGAGGGGCUGGUGAGAUGGCUCAGUGGGUAAGAGCACCUGACUGCUCUUCCGAAGGUCUGGAGUU